rnacentral:rRNA from 1 species
AUACGGAGGAUCCAAGCGUUAUCCGGAUUUAUUGGGUUUAAAGGGAGCGUAGAUGGAUGUUUAAGUCAGUUGUGAAAGUUCGGGGCUCAACCCCGGAAUUGCAGUUGAUACUGGAUAUCUUGAGUACAGUUGAGGUAGGCGGAAUUCGUGGUGUAGCGGUGAAAUGCUUAGAUAUCACGCAGAACUCCGAUUGCGAAGGCAGCUUACUAAGCUACAACUGACACUGAAGCACGAAAGCGUGGGGAUC